GCAGCCGCCCGAGGCCCUGCUGGGCGGGUCGGGGUGGAAAGGAGUCUGGAGUCCGCAGAAGCCUCCUCCUUUCCUGGCUUCACCUGCUCCUCCUGGUGUCUCUCCGUGGAGUCGGCGGGGAGGAGCCGCGGAAGCCGGGGCAGCCGUGACUGCACCAGGAAGAACAGCUCAGGCGUGGGCACGUGGGCUGUGAGCCCAGCCGAGAUCGCUGCCAGCACAGAGGUCCAAUCCACCCCGCGUCAGGGCCUGGACCAUGGGCCUGAGGUGUGGGUGGGGGAGAUGCCAAGACCAGAAGGAGGGUGUCAACAGAGCAUCAGGAGGCACUGACCCCAGAGCCCCUCCACGUCCCCGGGAACGGCCGGCCCCCCGUCGCCGCCGAGGGCCCUCGGCCAGGAUGGACAGCCAGGGGAAGGCUGCUUGUCUCCACGCCUCUCCGACGGCUCUUCUUCCGGCCCCUCCAGCCCAGGUGGAAUCCUUGAAGCUGGAGUCAGGACUGCCGGGCUUGCGGAGACAUGGGCUCCCCAGGAAGUGCUGAGCCCAUGAUCAGAGCUGCACCCCCACAAGAAGUCACCAUGUGGAUCCCCAGAGGGGAUACUCCGGAAGUGCUUCCAUUCGGCCACCAGCAGCUGUGAUGUCCCCUGACCAUGCAUCCUGGGUCCCAGGGGAUGGUGGGUAGGGGAGCCAGGCGAGGAAGUGAGUCACAGCCCUGUGGGGUGAGCUCCCCGAGGGGAAGGGAUUGCGUAGAGUACUUGGGGGAAUUUGUGAGCCUUCAAGCUGGCCUCUGCUGCGACAGGGGCCAGCAGCCUCGUCCGCUCUGUAGUCCACUCCGGCUGCUCCCUGUAGCCAGGGGUGCGGCAUGGCAGGAACAGGCCACAGGGCAAGGGAGGAGUGUGGUGGGCUCAGAAGGCUCUGGGGAGAGGGUGCCUUGCUCCUGGUGCUGAAAGGACAGCGCCCGGCUUGGGCAGAGGCCGCGCCAAGUCCUGGCGGAAGCUUUUCCGCAAACUGGAGUGGGGCGUCAUGUGCAUCUGAAUUUUUCCACUCCUCUUCUCUGGAGCCUGUCAGUGCCGUCUUGGCAAAGAUGGUUUGAGCCUGAAAGCUUUUCCCAUCUAUUUUUAAAUAAAUGGAAUUCCUGUCACUUGCAUGAAAUUCACCCCAA
rnacentral:lncRNA from 1 species